rnacentral:lncRNA from 1 species
ACAAUACCUUAAUAAGCAACCAAGUGGCAAAGAGCUGAUGGUUGGUAUUCGAGAUCAAAUUCGAAUCCUAAUUAAUUUAUAUUUUCAGCUAAAUUUAUUUCUAAAUGUAAUAAAUAAAGCGGAUAGCAUACUACCUAUGUCUCCAGAAAAAUAAUAAUAAUAAUAAUAUCGUAAGCGCUUCAGGAAUCGGGUGGAUAUCCUGACUUUAGCCUACAGAGCAAGUUGUUUUUUGUU